UAGGGAAGUCUUCGGCAAUGGACGAAAGUCUGACCGAGCAACGCCGCGUGAGUGAAGAAGGUUUCGGAUCGUAAAACUCUGUUGUUAGAGAAGAACAAGGGUGAGAGUAACUGUUCACCCCUUGACGGUAUCUAACCAGAAAGCCACGGCUAACUACGUGCCAG
rnacentral:rRNA from 1 species